rnacentral:misc_RNA from 1 species
AGAGACAAGCAGGGGAAACAAAGCAAAAGAAAAUGGUAAAGGAAAAAAAGAAAUAAAUACAAAAUAAAGGAGCUCUGCAUCUAUUAUCUGCUAAACUGAAACAACAAACUUACCUGCUGAUAUGAAAAACGUCUAUAAUGAAUAAUCCAAGUUCCAUUUUUACUAAGCAAAAGGAAAAUAAUGGUAGCCAUUGAAAAUGACUGAUAUUAAAAGAAAGAUAUCGGUUUUAACAGUGUGCAUAGAACUUCGAACUUCAAAUCCAAUAUGCAACGGCUCUAGGUUUAACUUCUGGGAUCAACAAAUAAUUAAAAGCUCUACAUUGUAAUUUCUAAUAUCUUCAAUGAGAAUAUUCAUGAAAGUUUUGGUAU